GAGGGCGGGGCGGUGGUGGGGCUGAGGCGGGGAGGGCGGUGGCGGUGGGGGCUGAGGCGGCUUCUGGAAGGUUCUGCAGGCUGCUGCCGGCCAGCGUCUGUGGCGCUGCUCUAGGCAGCUCCUGUGGCGUCCUGGCGCUGGUGCUGACCCUUGCCCAGGAACUUCUGAGGCUCCCUUUACUCCCUGCUGUCUGUGACAUAGAAGCUGCAGAGGAAACUGUCUCAUAAGCUAGCAGCAUAUUGAUUUUGGAGC
rnacentral:lncRNA from 1 species